rnacentral:rRNA from 1 species
UGAUCAGCCAUGCCGCGUGAGUGAGAGGCCUUAUGGUCGUAAGCUCUUUCCCCUGUGUUGAUAAUGACAGUACAGGUAAAGAAACCCCGGCUAACUCCGUGCCAGCACCCGCGGUAAUACUCCGGGGGUUAGGGUUGUUCGGAAUUACUGGGCGUAAAGCGAACGUAAGCGGAUUGCCGUGUUGGGGGUGAAAUCCCGGGGCUCAACCCCGGAACUGCCUCGGAACUGUCAGUCUAAAGUUCGAGAGAGGUGAGUGGAAUUCCAAGUGUAGAGGUGAAAUUCAUAUAUAUUUGGAGGAACACCAUUGGCGAAGGCGGCUCACUGGCUCGAUACUGACGCUGAGGUGCGAAAGUGUGGGGAGCAAACAGGAUUAAAUACCCUGGUAGUCCACACCAUAAACUAUGAAUGCCAUCCGUCGGGUAGUAUACUGCUCGGUGACGCACCUAACGGAUUAAGCAUUCCGCCUGGGGAGUACGGUCGCAAGAAUAAAACU